UACGUAGGUGGCAAGCGUUGUCCGGAAUUAUUGGGCGUAAAGCGCGCGCAGGCGGUCCUUUAAGUCUGAUGUGAAAGCCCACGGCCUCAACCGUGGAGGGUCAUUGGAAACUGGGGGGACUUGAGUACAGAAGAGAAGAGUGGAAUUCCACGUGUAGCGGUGAAAUGCGUAGAGAUGUGGAGGAACACCAGUGGCGAAGGCGACUCUUUGGUCUGUAACUGACGCUGAGGCGCGAAAGCGUGGGGAGCAAACAGG
rnacentral:rRNA from 1 species